rnacentral:lncRNA from 1 species
CAGAGGAGGGCAUUGUGACAAAACACAACCUGUUGGUGCUCUUGCAUCCCUGGGAACACACCUGCCCUGUUGCUGCCACUGCUAAAUGUUCCAGACAGUACCCAUAAGCCCGAUCUCUGUCACUUUCCAGGAUCCUGCAACUAGGAGCAGACUGUACAGCACCUUCUAUGUGGGCUAUGUGAGAAAGGGUGCUUCAUGCUUGGUCUACAGGUGGUGGGGACAAAAGACUGCAGUUAUCACUGACUCUAGAGAUGGUCAUGUCCCACUCCUACUAGGGGUCCCUGAAUAGGCUUCACAGGUGGUAGUUCCAAUCACCUCAGAGGAGGGCGUUGCAAUCAAACACAUGCUGUUGUUGCUUUCACUCCCAUGGGAGCUCACACAUCCUCCUACUGCUACUGCCAAAUGCUCUGGUCACAUUUCUGAUCCUCCUAGAGCUCAUUACCACUUCCCAGGGCCCUGAAGCUAGGGGUAGCCUGUGCCACCUUCCUGCAGUCCUUGCUUCUGUCAAGAGCCCAAUGAACAGGCACUUACUGCUGGCCCUAUCCAUUGCCUCCUUUUCCCUGGAAACACACUGAACAUCCUGGCAGUAAUAGUCUGCACACGAUGAAGAAAAAGAUAGCAAAUUUUCAAUCUCCCACACCAAAAAAUAAAUAGUAACCUCCCCCAGGAAAUACAAAAGGGUAUUCUUGCAUAGAAGUAGCCUUACAAGACUACAGUGUGGCUUUCCCAAACUCACAGAAAAAGAAAAAACACGAGCAAGAUGAAUAAGCUCAGGAACAUUCCUAAUUAAAAGAACAGGAGAAUUCACCUAAAGCAGUUGACAAUGACACAGACCUCUGCAGUCUGAACAGACAUUGAGUUCACAAGGGAAAUGGUGAAGAUACUGAAGUAAUUAAGAGAGGAUAUGAACAGUAAUGCAGAUUCUUUUAGAAAGGUACUAGAAAAUAUAAGGAGGAGCCAAAUAAAACUAAAAAAUUCAUUUUCAGAGAUACGAUCUGAGCCAAAGGCAAUAAAGACAGAAUGAAUAAGGCAGAGGAACAAAUUAUGACAUGGAAGAUAGAAUAAUGGAAACCACCCAAUCAGCACCACAGACAGAAAUCCAAAUUUAAAAAAAAUGAAAGCAAUCUAAGAGACCUAUGGGAUAAUAUAAAGUGGGCCAAUCUAAGUGUAAUAGGAAUUCCAGAAGUAGAAGAAAAAAAAAAGGGGGGAUUGAAAAUAUAUUUGAAGAAAUUAUGGCUGGGAACUUUCCACAUCUAAAGGAUACUGUCAAGAUACAGGAUGCACAGAGGGCCCCAAACAUGUUGAACCCAAACAGACCCAUACCAAGACAUACUAUAAUAAAAAUGGCAAAAGUUAAAGAAAAAGAGAAAAAGAAAUCAUUUAUUAUAAGGGAACCCAUAUAAGGCUAUCAGCUGAUUUCUUCACAGAAGCACUACAGGCCAGAAGGGAGUGGCAAGAUAGAUUUAAAGUGCUGAAAGGAAAAAAUGUGUAGCCUAUAAUAUUCUAUCCAGCAAGAAUAUCAUUUGAAAUAGAAAGGGAAGAGUUCCCAUCAUGGCACAGUGGUUAACAAAUCUGAAGAGGAACCAUGAGGUUGCAGGUUUGAUCCCUGGCCUUACUCAGUGGGUUAAGGAUCUGGCUUUGCCGUGAGCUGUGGUGUAGGUUGCAGAUGUGGCUCGGAUCCUGUGUUGCUGUGGCUCUGGUGUAGGCCAGCGGCUANNNNNNNNNNNNNNNNNNNNNNNNNNNNNNNNNNNNNNNNNNNNNNNNNNNNNNNNNNNNNNNNNNNNNNNNNNNNNNNNNNNNNNNNNNNNNNNNNNNNNNNNNNNNNNNNNNNAAAAGUAAAAUAGAAGGGGAAAUAAAUAAUUUUUCCAACAAACAAAAGCUAAAAGAGUACAACAAUACAAAACCCAUCCUAACAGAAAUAAUGAAAGGGUUAAAAAAAUUAAAAAAAGAAAAAAAAAGAAAAGAUGAAGAAUUAGGAUGGAGUAAACCACAACUGGAAAGCAGUAACUUAAAUAAGCCAGCAUACAGAUCUAAAUAUAAAGAUGUUGUGGGGGGGGAAGACAACAAAAUCAUACAAUGUAGGCAAGGAAAGUAUGAAAAUGUAGCUUCUUUGUUUUUAUUUUCAGGAUGUGUUUGAACCUAUAUGAUUAUCAGGCUAAAGCAAGCAGGUACAGGAAGUGGUUAACAUACUUAAAAAACAGGAAAACCGCAAAUCAAAACCAAACAUUACAUUCACAAAAACUGAAUAGUACUCAAGCAUAAAAAAAGUGGAAACCAUCUUACAAAAUAAAGAAGAGGGAAACAUAGAAUCACCCAGAAAACAAGGUUUAAAAUGUCAAUAAACCCAUAUCUUUCAAUAACCACCUUAAAUGUCAAUGGACUGAAUGCUCCAAUCAAAGACACACAGUUGCAGAUUGGAUAAAAAUGCAAAAACCUUCAAUCUACUGUCUAUAAGAAACUCAAAUUAGAGCAAAGGACACAUAGAGAUUCAAAGUGAGGGGAUGGAAAAAGAUUUUUCAUGCCAAUGGACCAGACAGGAAAGCAAGAGUUGCAAUACUCCUAUCAGACAAAAUAGACUUUAAAACAAAGGCCCUAAAGAAAGACAAAGAAGGACACUAUUUAAUGGUUAAAAGAUCCAUUCAAGAGGAGGAUAUUACAAUCAUCAAUAUAUAUGCCCCUGAUAUUGGAUCCCCCACACACCUUCCAUAAAUACUAACAGACAUGAAAGGAGAAAGUGAUGGGAUUACACUCAUAGUAGGAGACUUUACCACCCCACUGACAUCAAUGGACAGAUCCUCUAGACAAGAAAUCAGUAAGUCAACAGAGAUCCUAAAGGACAUAAUAGAAAGUUAGACUUAAUUGACAUUUCCAGGACAUUAUAUCUAAAAAAGUCAGAAUAUGCAUUCCUCACAAGUACACCUGGGAACAUCCUUAAGAAUUGAUCCAUAUACUGGGGCACAAAUUUAAGAGUAUAGAAUUUAUUUGAAGCAUCUUCUCUGACCACAAUGGCAUGAAACUAGAAAUCAACCACAGGGAAAGAAAUGAGAAAACACUAACUACAUAGACACUAAACAACAUGCUAUUAAAAAACCAAUGGGGCAAUGAGGAAAUCAAGAAGGAAAUUAAAAAAUACAUCAAGACAAAUGACAAUGAACACACAACCACUUAAAAUCUAUGGGAAGCUACAAAAGGAGUGCUCAGGAGGUAGGUCAUAGCAAUACAGGCCUUCCUCAAAAAAAAAAAAAAAAGAAAAGAAAAA